AGAGUCACAAACAAGUCAAAUAUCCGUAACUGGAGUAACUCCAGAGGGGAGGGCAAGCUCUUCUCCUUUGAGAUAUUGGAUGAGAGUGGAGAAAUCAAGAUUACUGCCUUCAACAAUGAAGUGGACAAGUUUUUCACUCUAGUGGAGCAAGGCAAGGUGUACUAUAUCUCAAAAGCAACAUUGAAGGUGGCCAACAAACAGUAUACAACACUGAAGCACGACUACGAGAUUACCCUCAAUGCUCAUUCAUCUAUAAUACCAUGUGAUGACAGUGAGAGCAUCCCCACAGUGCACUGUGACUUUGUGCCCAUUGAAGAACUGGAAAACCGAGACAAAGAUGCCA